rnacentral:rRNA from 1 species
UACGAAGGGGGCUAGCGUUGCUCGGAAUUACUGGGCGUAAAGCGCACGUAGGCGGCUUUCUAAGUCGGGGGUGAAAUCCUGGAGCUCAACUCCAGAACUGCCUUCGAUACUGGAGAGCUCGAGUCCGGGAGGGGUGAGUGGAACUGCGAGUGUAGAGGUGAAAUUCGUAGAUAUUCGCAAGAACACCAGUGGCGAAGGCGGCUCACUGGCCCGGUACUGACGCUGAGGUGCGAAAGCGUGGGGAGCAAACAGG